UGUGGGAGGGGGCUUGCCCCCGAUAGCGGUGUGUCAGCUUGCCUAUGCAUUGACUGACAUACUGCCAUCGGGGGCAAGCCCCCUCCCACA
rnacentral:misc_RNA from 1 species